rnacentral:rRNA from 1 species
CAGUCGAGGGGAAACGACAUCGAAAGCUUGCUUUUGAUGGGCGUCGACCGGCGCUCGGGUGAGUAACGCGUAUCCAACCUGCCCACCACUUGGGGAUAACCUUGCGAAAGUAAGACUAAUACCCAAUGAUAUCUCUAGAAGACAUCUGAAAGAGAUUAAAGAUUUAUCGGUGAUGGAUGGGGAUGCGUCUGAUUAGCUUGUUGGCGGGGUAACGGCCCACCAAGGCAACGAUCAGUAGGGGUUCUGAGAGGAAGGUCCCCCACAUUGGAACUGAGACACGGUCCAAACUCCUACGGGAGGCAGCAGUGAGGAAUAUUGGUCAAUGGACGAGAGUCUGAACCAGCCAAGUAGCGUGCAGGAAGACGGCCCUAUGGGUUGUAAACUGCUUUUAUAAGGGAAUAAAGUGAGAGUCGUGACUCUUUUUGCAUGUACCUUAUGAAUAAGGACCGGCUAAUUCCGUGCCAGCAGCCGCGGUAAUACGGAAGGUCCGGGCGUUAUCCGGAUUUAUUGGGUUUAAAGGGAGCGUAGGCCGGAGAUUAAGCGUGUUGUGAAAUGUAGAUGCUCAACAUCUGCACUGCAGCGCGAACUGGUUUCCUUGAGUACGCACAAAGUGGGCGGAAUUCGUGGUGUAGCGGUGAAAUGCUUAGAUAUCACGAAGAACUCCGAUUGCGAAGGCAGCUCACUGGAGCGCAACUGACGCUGAAGCUCGAAAGUGCGGGUAUCGAACAGGA